UACGGAGGGUGCAAGCGUUGUCCGGAAUCACUGGGCGUAAAGGGCGCGUAGGCGGCCUGGUAAGUAGGGGGUGAAAUCCUGCGGCUUAACCGCAGGGCUGCCUUCUAAACUGUCAGGCUUGAGCACGGUAGAGGCAGACGGAAUUCCGGGUGUAGCGGUGGAAUGCGUAGAGAUCCGGAGGAAGACCGGUGGCGAAGGCGGUCUGCUGGGCAGUUUCUGACACUGAGGCGCGACAGCGUGGGGAGCAAACAGG
rnacentral:rRNA from 1 species